rnacentral:lncRNA from 1 species
CCUGUGUGGUUUAGUGAUGAUUUAUAAGGAUGAUAUCUGUAAAGGAAAAACAUGCACUGCCCUCACUAUGAAAGCGUAUGAGCAGGAUAUCGAAAUAAGCUGGAACCAGGCCAGGAUAAUUAAGCCGCUCAAGGGUAACACAGGAAUCACGAUCCUAGAAACCAUUGCAAUCGAAAAGAAAAGGCCCUAUUAUGACAUAAUAAACGAUAAUCUUCCAGUGGAGCUGCCUGACUCCUGGAAAUGGUGCGCCAGGAACAACGUAUAAAAAAGUUUUAUGUGGAUGCAUAGAUGUUAGCUCUUCCACAAACAGGGCUACAUAAUGGAUCAUGAAAUAUAUGUCUUAUUCUCUGUAGCGGCAAUAACGGCCAACUAUUAUAGAGAACGUUAGUUUUCCUUAAUAUGUUUAAAUUAUUAAUGAACUUACAAUUUCAUUUAUGUGGUGGAUCUGACUGUAUAUAUGAUUUUAUAUUUUUGAUGUUGUGUAUGUGCUUAAUGUAUCCGUCUG